UUCCGCAAUGGGCGCAAGCCUGACGGAGCAACGCCGCGUGAGGGAUGAAGGCCUCUGGGCUGUAAACCUCUUUUCUCAAGGAAGAAGAACUGACGGUACUUGAGGAAUAAGCCACGGCUAAUUCCGUGCCAGCAGCCGCGGUAAUACGGGAGUGGCAAGCGUUAUCCGGAAUUAUUGGGCGUAAAGCGUCCGCAGGCGGCCAGUCAAGUCUGUUGUCAAAGCGUGGAGCUUAACUCCAUUUGAGCAAUGGAAACUGAUUGGCUUGAGUGUGGUAGGGGCAGAGGGAAUUCCCGGUGUAGCGGUGAAAUGCGUAGAUAUCGGGAAGAACACCAGUGGCGAAGGCGCUCUGCUGGGCCAUAACUGACGCUCAUGGACGAAAGCCAGGGGAGCGAAAGGGAUUAGAUACCCCUGUAGUCCUGGCCGUAAACGAUGAACACUAGGUGUCGGGGGAAUCGACCCCCUCGGUGUCGUAGCCAACGCGUUAAGUGUUCCGCCUGGGGAGUACGCACGCAAGUGUGAAACUCAAAGGAAUUGACGGGGGCCCGCACAAGCGGUGGAGUAUGUGGUUUAAUUCGAUGCAACGCGAAGAACCUUACCAGGGUUUGACAUCCUGCGAAUUCCUGAGAAAUCGGGAAGUGCCUUCGGGAGCGCAGAGACAGGUGGUGCAUGGCUGUCGUCAGCUCGUGUCGUGAGAUGUUGGGUUAAGUCCCGCAACGAGCGCAACCCACGUCUUUAGUUGCCAGCAUUAAGUUGGGCACUCUAGAGAGACCGCCGGUGAUAAACCGGAGGAAGGUGUGGAUGACGUCAAGUCAUCAUGCCCCUUACAUCCUGGGCUACACACGUACUACAAUGCUACGGACAGAGGGCAGCAAACUCGCGAGAGCUAGCAAAUCCCAUAAACCGUGGCUCAGUUCAGAUCGUAGGCUGCAACUCGCCUACAUGAAG
rnacentral:rRNA from 1 species